ACAGAGAGUAGCUUGCUACUCUGCUGACGAGCGGCGGACGGGUGAGUAAUGCUUGGGAAUAUGCCUUAUGGUGGGGGACAACAGUUGGAAACGACUGCUAAUACCGCAUAAUGUCUACGGACCAAAGUGGGGGACCUUCGGGCCUCACGCCAUAAGAUUAGCCCAAGUGGGAUUAGCUAGUUGGUGAGGUAAUGGCUCACCAAGGCGACGAUCCCUAGCUGGUUUGAGAGGAUGAUCAGCCACACUGGGACUGAGACACGGCCCAGACUCCUACGGGAGGCAGCAGUGGGGAAUAUUGCACAAUGGGCGCAAGCCUGGUGCAGCCAUGCCGCGUGUGUGAAGAAGGCCUUCGGGUUGUAAAGCACUUUCAGUAAGGAGGAAAGGUUAAGUGUUAAUAGCACUUAGCUGUGACGUUACUUACAGAAGAAGCACCGGCUAACUCCGUGCCAGCAGCCGCGGUAAUACGGAGGGUGCGAGCGUUAAUCGGAAUUACUGGGCGUAAAGCGUACGCAGGCGGUUUGUUAAGCGAGAUGUGAAAGCCC
rnacentral:rRNA from 1 species